rnacentral:misc_RNA from 1 species
AUGAAGUCAGUGGCUACAGGAACCCUCAGCCAGUGAAUGUAGACUCAGGAAAUGAAUCUGACAGUGCAUAGAUAGUAAUACUUUGUUUCUCAAAUUUUGAGACUAGAGGAAUCAAUCCUAUGCUUUUGUUUAACUAUUAGUUUGAGAUUUUAUGUCAAUGGAUGGUCACUUGUUUAUUCUAUUUAUAUGUUUCUGUUUCCAGAAUAAAAGGGGAUUCCCAG